ACAUACUACUCAGCUCGCAUUCUGAUUUUAGCGUACUAUAUAAUAUGGAAGUAUGCGGUUUCUGACGCAGCCCUGGUCUUACUGAGACAGGAAGUCAUGUUCAGGUAUUUUCUUCUUGUAUUUUGCAGAUUUUAAUGGACCACAUGGAGAAAAAGGGAAUUACUUACCUCAUCAAAGACUGGAUGGUCAGGAAUUUAUUUAUUUUUUAAAAAUCAGAUGGACAGGUGAAUUGAUGGACAUCCUUUCAAGAUGGAGUAGUGGUUGGUAGAGGUAGUAAUUCGGCCUUGUCUGUGUCAGAUUUUUCUUUUUCAGGUAAUGGAGAGAGAGCAGACAGAAGAAUGAGACUCACAAGAGCAUCGUGGGACAUUUCUCUAAGAAAUGCUGGAAAACAGUAGGUUGGAGUGGAGUAGAGGCAGGAAACUCACAAGGGGAACGGUGGAGAUAUACUUGAAGACCUGGAGCUCAGGAAGCAGUGUAUUUUGCAGAUUUUAAUGGACCACAUGGAGAAAAAGGGAAUCACACACCUCAGCAACUACUGGAAAUUGAUGGUAAUGGAGAGAGAGCAGGCAGAAGAGGGAGACUCAUAAGUGCAUUUGGGGAGAACAGCACGUAGGGUUUUGGGCGAGCCGUCUUUGUCUUUUGCAGGUUAAGGUUGAGCAGCAGAAGGAGACUCACAAGGAGAAAGGUGGAGAUAUACUUGGAGACCUGGAGCUCAGGAAGCAGAUUGGCACAGAGCAUGUGGAGGAACAGGGAAACACACGGAUGGGUGCAUGGUUGUCCUUCCUAGAGGAAGGGGGUGGUGGUGGGCAUAGAUUGUUAGAUAGAUGUCUUGUCUGUGGCAGUUAUUUACUUUGUAAGUAAUGGAACUACAACAGACAGAAGCGCAAAAGUGAAUAUUUCUCUGAAGAACACUGGAGAACACUUUGUUUAUUGCUGGAGAUCAGCCAGUAGAGCUCUGUUAGUCUUGCUUUUGUCUUUUGCAGAUUAGACUGGGGCAUGUGGAGAAACAAGAAUCCCACCUCAGUGAUGACUGCAAACUGAUGGUCUGGUUAAGUGUUUUUUGGAUUGAUGGAUUGAUGCAUGGAUAGAUAGAAAAUUGAAUGGCUGGAUGGCUGGUCGGAUGGUAAAUAGAUGUCCUUCCAAGAGGAAGGGGGUGGAGGUGGGCAUAGAUUUUUAGAUAAAUGUCUUCUUUGCGGUUGUUAUUUAAACUGUAGCUAAUGAACACACAACAAGCCGAAAAGGGAAACUCACAAGAGUAUCAGGAGCAGGAGACUCACCAGGGGUAUCCCCUAGUAAAUGGGGCAAAGAAGUAAAUAAAGCAACGUAGUUUAAUCGAAAACUAACUGACACAUGUUGUCAGAAAACUAUUCUUGUGCGCUUCACGCACAGCUGCUUCUGCUCCCAGAGUAAGCACACACGCUGAAAAUAAUAUGCGCCACUCAUACAUUGUGAAACCGGCGUAACAGCUUUUAAUGCAGUGAAGUCAGCACUCCUUAAGUUUUGCAAGUCAGCAAAACUAAUGCUUAAGUAAUAUGAUGAUGAUAUUUUGACUAAACAUGGCUGCUGUAGGAUGACAUUAAUAACAUUAUUUCUCUGCCAUCUAGCCAGUCAGGUCUCAGACAGAAAAUAAUUCUAUACAUGUUUGAUUUGUGUUAUCUAGAAUUCUCAUAUGUUAUUAAAAUUCAUGCAAAAGAUUUUUAGGAGAUCUUAUAUC